rnacentral:rRNA from 1 species
AGAGUUUGAUCCUGGCUCAGGAUGAACGCUAGCGGCAGGCUUAACACAUGCAAGUCGAGGGGCAGCAUAAUGGAUAGCAAUAUCUAUGGUGGCGACCGGCGCACGGGUGCGUAACGCGUAUGCAACCUACCUUUAACAGGGGGAUAACACUGAGAAAUUGGUACUAAUACCCCAUAAUAUCAUAGAAGGCAUCUUUUAUGGUUGAAAAUUCCGAUGGUUAGAGAUGGGCAUGCGUUGUAUUAGCUAGUUGGUGGGGUAACGGCUCACCAAGGCGACGAUACAUAGGGGGACUGAGAGGUUAACCCCCCACACUGGUACUGAGACACGGACCAGACUCCUACGGGAGGCAGCAGUGAGGAAUAUUGGUCAAUGGACGCAAGUCUGAACCAGCCAUGCCGCGUGCAGGAUGACGGCUCUAUGAGUUGUAAACUGCUUUUGUACGAGGGUAAACGCAGAUACGUGUAUCUGUCUGAAAGUAUCGUACGAAUAAGGAUCGGCUAACUCCGUGCCAGCAGCCGCGGUAAUACGGAGGAUUCAAGCGUUAUCCGGAUUUAUUGGGUUUAAAGGGUGCGUAGGCGGUUUGAUAAGUUAGAGGUGAAAUUUCGGGGCUCAACCCUGAACGUGCCUCUAAUACUGUUGAGCUAGAGAGUAGUUGCGGUAGGCGGAAUGUAUGGUGUAGCGGUGAAAUGCUUAGAGAUCAUACAGAACACCGAUUGCGAAGGCAGCUUACCAAACUAUAUCUGACGUUGAGGCACGAAAGCGUGGGGAGCAAACAGGAUUAGAUACCCUGGUAGUCCACGCAGUAAACGAUGAUAACUCGUUGUCGGCGAUACACAGUCGGUGACUAAGCGAAAGCGAUAAGUUAUCCACCUGGGGAGUACGUUCGCAAGAAUGAAACUCAAAGGAAUUGACGGGGGCCCGCACAAGCGGAGGAACAUGUGGUUUAAUUCGAUGAUACGCGAGGAACCUUACCCGGGCUUGAAAGUUAGCGACGAUUCUUGAAAGAGGAUUUCCCUUCGGGGCGCGAAACUAGGUGCUGCAUGGUUGUCGUCAGCUCGUGCCGUGAGGUGUCGGGUUAAGUCCCAUAACGAGCGCAACCCCUACCGUUAGUUGCCAUCAGGUCAAGCUGGGCACUCUGGCGGGACUGCCGGUGUAAGCCGAGAGGAAGGUGGGGAUGACGUCAAAUCAGCACGGCCCUUACGUCCGGGGCUACACACGUGUU